rnacentral:tRNA from 1 species
GGGUCCGUGGGGUAGCUUGGUAUCCUACCAGCUUGGGGUGCUGGCGACCGGCGUUCAAAUCGCCGCGGACCCA